rnacentral:rRNA from 1 species
GUAGUUAGCCGGGGCUUCCUCCUUGGCUACCGUCAUUCUUUUCGUCACCAAGGACAGAGGUUUACAACCCGAAGGCCUUCUUCCCUCACGCGGCGUUGCUGGGUCAGGCUUUCGCCCAUUGCCCAAUAUUCCCCACUGCUGCCUCCCGUAGGAGUCUGGACCGUGUCUCAGUUCCAGUGUGGCCGUUCAGCCUCUCAGCUCGGCUACCCAUCGUCGACUAGGUGGGCCGUUACCCCGCCUACUAUCUAAUGGGACGCGAGCCCCUCCCUCUGCGGAUUGCUCCUUUGACCUCAUCCCGAUGCCGGGUCGUGGUCUUAUGCGGUAUUAGCAUCUGUUUCCAAAUGUUAUCCCCCUCAAAGGGUCAGGUUGCUCACGCGUUACUCACCCGUUCGCCACUAGGCAUAAAACCGAAAUCUUAUGCCCCGUUCGACUUGCAUGUGUUAGGCACGCCGCCACGCGUUCGUCCUACGACCACGAUACAACUACUCGA